CAGUAGCCACGGGAAUACGAAGGGGGCUAGCGUUGCUCGGAAUUACUGGGCGUAAAGGGAGCGUAGGCGGGCAUUUAAGUCAGGGGUGAAAUCCCAGAGCUCAACUCUGGAACUGCCUUUGAUACUGGGUGUCUUGAGUGUGAUAGAGGUAUGUGGAACUCCGAGUGUAGAGGUGAAAUUCGUAGAUAUUCGGAAGAACACCAGUGGCGAAGGCGACAUACUGGAUCAUUACUGACGCUGAGGCUCGAAAGCGUGGGGAGCAAACAGGAUUAGAUACCCGCGUAGUCCCUGUCUCUUAUAC
rnacentral:rRNA from 1 species